AACAUAGUUCAUAGCUGUACAAGUUGAAAAUAUAUCUAAGUUUGAUAGCUUGAUAGUAUAGAGAUCAGAAGAUUCUGUAUUGGAAAAAAAAUCAUAGAAACCGAAGCAGGUUUAAAAAUUAUCAUUUUCAAGGAGUUAAAAGGGUCUUCAGAAGGAUUUUAGGGGUCAUUUGAGGGUUUUUUUUUUCAUCUGUAUUAACGUAUUCUGUAUUUAUGUAUUCUCCCUUCCGAAGGAAGAACUCACAUUUUGCGAGUAUGUCGGGAGUGGGAUUCGAUCCCAGGUGCUCGGAGUGAUAGUCAAGUAUUCUAACCAUCACACCAGGUGCGCCCUGCCAAUGUGUUUCUGGAAUUUUUAUGUUUAUUAACGAGAUUUUUAACGCAAGACUAGUUUAUUUGAAAUUGUUUCAGGGCUGUUUCAGGUAGUUUCAGCGGUUUUACAUGGGUGUUUCGCGAAGUAUCAGGGAUUUUCAGGGGUUUCUGGGUCGAAUGGGGGAGGGGGGUGUAACAGGGACGUUUCCCAAAUAACAAAGUUGUCACAGAAAAGUAACAACAGCGCAGAUUUUUGUUGCGCAGAAGUCACUGUGACUAAAAGAAACACUUACUAGCACAUACUUCUAAGUAAGUUACAGUGACUUCUCCGCAACAAAAACCUGUGCCGCCGUAACUCUUCUGUGACAAGUGUAUUACUUGGGUUCAGCGCGACUCAGGAUGCUCCAUGAAGGUUUACAGUUUUUGAGAGUUUUAAACCCCCCUAAAACUCUCUAAAGGGCCUUUCGAUCAAAAGUUUGGGGUCAUGUAAUUUUUUUAGGCCCAUAUCUCCGCCAAUUUGCGUCAGACUUCAAAACCCUAGGUUUCAUUCAAAAGAUAAUAAGUCAAAGAAACUUUGAACAUGACAUGAUUUAAAAGAAACUUUAAAAAAAAUGUAUGUAAACUUAACCCAAAGUUGCCAAUUUUUUUUUUAAAUUAAUAUUAACUUACGGCAGUAUCGCUGGAAUUUGGGUCGACCAAAUUUUAAGAUGUGAGCGGUAAUAUAACCUAUUUUCUAUUAGCUUUCAACUGCUUUUUACCGAACUUGGCUGAAAAUUCUAGGAAAAAAGUUAUUAAGUAAAUUAACUCUUCAUAUCAUCGACCAAAAGUUUGGAGUCACCCCUCAAUAUGAUGUAUCAGCCAAAAGUUUGGGCACAGAGUUUGGGGUCACUUUCGUAAAACGUGGCAAAGUGAUUUGAUGAUAUCUUCGUCAUUUAUAGUUCAAUUUUAAUUCUUUUUGGCUCAUUUCAAAGAUAAUUAACUAAAUUUACGUUUGAUGUCUUUAACUUAACGUAUUUAACAAUUUUUGUAUAUAACAAUGUUAUGUAAAGUUAACACAUUUCACCACAUUUCAAAAAAUAACUUAAACUUAACUUUACGUUAAGUUUUAGUAUGUAAAUUUCAACAAAUAUGUAUGGUUCAAUGUAUAUGCAGUAAGUAUCAUUCAUUAUGUUUCAAAUAAGCCAAAAAGAAUAAAAAUUGAAUGAAAGAUGACAAAGAUAUCAACAAAUCACUUUUCCAUGUUUUACGAUAGUGACCCCAAGCUUUUGGCCGAUACAUUUUUUUUUUUGGUCGAUGACAUCAAGGGUUAAUUUACUUAAUUACUUUUUUGUUAGAUUUUUAGCUGACUCCUAUAAAAAGCAGUUAAAAGCUAAUAGUAAAUGGGUUAUAUUACCGCUCUCAUCUUGAAAUUUGGUCGACCCAAUUUCCAGCGACACUGUCGUAAGUUUAUAUUCAUUUUUUAGAAAAUUUGGCAACUUUGGGUUAAGUUUACAAACAAAAUUUUUUGAAAAAGUUUCUUUCAAAUAAUGUUUAAAGUUUGUUUGACUUAUUACUAGGGGGUCUUGCCCGGGAUUUCCCGGGACAAAAAUCCCGGGAAAUCCCGGGAGUUGAAAAAUCCCGAAUCUCGGGAUAUUUUUCUUAAAUUCCCGGGAUUUCCCGAAAAUAGAAAAAUUGCAAAAGUGUGUUGUAUUAAAACAUAACAAUUCACACAAGACGUUUUUUCCAAGAUUUUUUCAUCAAUUUUUCAUUUUCGCAUUCGAUUGUACACUAUCUGGCAGGUCCAUCUUUUUCUAACGAAACCAAAUUCUUGAUGGGAAUCCUUGUGAAUAUGCAACUGAUUUGAUAGAAUACUAUAAUGAGGAUUCGAACGAUUUAUUAUAAUGCAAUUUUCCUGACUAAAUUUUUAGUUGCAAAAUUUGUAGACGUUUUCCGCUAAUCAUGUCAAAUAUUUUCAAGUGGAGCUUCUGCAAUUUUUAUAAAUACCUGUAGCCAUUUCUGACAGACUUCACAAGUAAAUCUGAUGCUGAAAGGUACUAGAUUUCUAGAGUACUACAUUUUUAGAGGUUAAAGGAAUCCAGCUAGAAAAAUGUAUUGAUAUUAACGUGAUAUGAGCAAUUGGGUUGUUUAGUGAAUAAAAUAUUGCUAUUUUCUAUAGCCUAAUCGAAAGAGCUCAUUUUUCUGAGUAUAACGUGAUUUUAUUGGAUUCCAAUACCUUUGUUUUGAUGGUUUAAUUAACACAACAGUUUUUAUUUUCGUGGAUAGAAUGACAGUUCAAUCGAUAAAGUGACAGUUCAACCCGAACAAAAAAAUUUCCCCAUACAAACUUUAAAUGCAUUUUAAAAAUAGUUCCCGGACUCCAAAAAUUAUGAAAUUUUGGAUUUCGACUAAUUUUUGGGCGCAGAAUCCGAUUAUGGAAUAAUCCGGAUACCCCUAAAGAACCCAAUUCUAACAGAAUUGUAACGAAAGUCGUUCACAUGAAUCACAAAAUUUUGGGAGGCUUUCAUCUAUAAAAUUUGUGAAAACAUCCUCAAUGCACUUCUGCAGGGCUUUACUAUCAUCAAGCAGGCAUACGAUUGCAAAAAUGGUUUAUUGGCUAAGAAUGAUUCAGCUCAUAACUGUAUGAAGUCGAUAAAAUAAUAGUUGAAAUACACGGCAUGUUCCAGUAGUGAUGUAGGUAAUUUUAUAAAAUAAGAAUAAAAAGAAAAUUCGAAAACAACACGGAAACAUCUGGAGAUUUCUCAAAGAAAAAAAGACAAUUACACCGUCUUCGGCCAGAGGCCUCACAGACUGAACAUUACUAAAAUUAGACAACGGACAACACAUAUAACACUCAGUGGCUCAGUGGAGAAUUUUCCGUCUGACGAAAAGUUUUACCCGAUUGGAGCAGGAAACAAACCCACACUCCAAGGCUUACUAGACACCUAAACGACUGACGCCGCUAACCGCUCGGCCACGAAUUCUACAAAAAUAGUAUUUUUCCAAAUAUAUCGAAAACAAGAUCAGUAAAGCUUCGUGAUGAAAUUUUCAAAGUCAAAAAAAGAAACGUCUGAAGGUGGGAAGGCAUUUCUUAUGUAUUUCAUGGAAAAUUUUUUGUAUGAACUUUUAAAAGAUUUUUUGAAGACAUUAUUGUAAGGAUUUUUUGAGAAAGCAAUCUUUCAAAUCAUUCCAACCUUUUCCACCUUUUCCAGCAAAUCUCAAAUUUGCUCCCAAAAAUAACAUAUGGAGAGGCCAAAUGGAUCAAUGAAGUAAUAUCCCCAGAAAAUCCGUGGAGUCUUUUGAAAUAAGUUAAAAAAAAUCGACGACAACUUCAGUAAGAAUUCCAUCCAGAACAUUUUCAUGUCUUACAUGGUUAAAAUGGGAUUAUUUGUUUUUUUUUGCGAAAUUUCAUCUUUUUCGCAAAUUUAAAUAAUCAAAAAAUAUUUUUGGAAACACAUUUUAUACAUUUUUACUUGUUUUUGGAAAAUUUGGAUUUAUCCCGGGAUCCCAGGAAAUCCCGGGAUUUUAAAAAUAAAAAUCCCGAAUCCCGGGAUUUUUUUCAGUCCGGGAAACAAGACCCUCUUAUUACCUUUUGAAUGAAACCUAGGGUAUUGAAAUCUGACGCAAAUUGGCGGAGAUAUGGGCUUAAAAAUGACAUGUUUUUUAUGGGGUGACCCCAAAAUUUUGAUCGGGAGUGUAGUUUAAAGGCGUUUGUUGAUGUUUCACGGACGUUUUAAGGGGUUUUAUUAUAAUUUCAGGGAGGGUGCAGUGGCGCUUGAGUGUUUCAGGAAGUUUUAAGAGACAUCGGGGAGUUUCAGGGACGAAUUAGAUUUGUUUCUGGGGAUUUCGGGAGCGUUUUAGGUAGAUCCAUUGGGUUUCAGAGGGGUUUCACAGGGUUUCCUGGCUUUCAAACUUUCAGUUUUCAAGAAAAGAAAGGAGUGGAGCUUCAGGCUGAGGAGGAUUCCAGGGCAUUUGAGGGUGCUUCAGGGUUUUUUGUUGUUAUAUUUUGUGCAUUCGUAGGGUUCCAUAGUAUGUCUCGUAACAUUGGUUUAUAUUGUGGGUUCCACUUAUAUGUUACAAGGAGUAGAAAACCACGAAACGGCUUCGGGUGAGUUUCAGAGGAUUUUCAACGCGUUUUGGAGGUGUUUUCAGUGGUUUCUAAGGGUCUCAGGUGCAUUACAUGGGGUCCGAGAAAGUUUUAGGGGGAUUUUGUAAACAUUUUAGGAGCUUUCAGAGGAUUUUUAAAAUAUUUCAGAGGCGUUUUCUGGAGUUUCGGAGGGUCUCAGGUGCACUGCAAUUUUUUUUGCUGGUAAUCAGCAAAAUGUUGUUGCGUCCAGUUAUACGAAUUGCCAUGAAUCGGUUUUUUUCUCAGUUUGCUGAACAAUCCAGUUAUUUUGACAAAUAAUCAGCAAGCCUUUGCUGAAAUUCAGCAAAAUAUUUGAUGAAAACUCAGUAAUUUUUAUUGCUGUUUGUUUGUGUUGGAAGCAUUUCAAAAUUUUAAUGUGUGGGAGAAAGUUUCAGAAGAUUUCAGCGGAUUUCAGAGGCUUCGGAGGCUUCGCUGCGAAGGCAUUUUCAGAGGUUUCGGUGGGUCUCAUGUGCGUUACAGGACCCCAUGUAAUGUAAUGGGUUUUAGGGGUAUUUUUGAAGCAUUUGAAAGCAUCCCGGAGGCGUUUUUAGCGGAGGGUCUAAGGUAAGUGGUCCGAGGGAGUUUUAGAGGGAUUUUUGAAGCAUUUCUGGCGGUUUCAGAGUGUUUUUUGAAGCAUUUUCAGCGGGUUUCAAAAGCAUUACGCAGGAGUUUUCGGUGGUUUCUGUGGGUCUCACGUGCAUUACAUGGGAUCCUAGAGGAUUUAAGGGGGAUUUUGAAAGCUUUGCAGGAGGUUUCUGAAGGUUUCAGUAGAUUUACAUCGGGUUCGAGGGGGUUUAGGGGGAUUUUAGAAGCAUUUCAGAAAAUUUUAGAGGAUUUUUAGGAGACACCUUAACUAAAACCCUUGAAACCACCUGAAACGCCCCUGAACCUCACCUGCCUUGAAACACCUCUGGAAAAUUCAUAACCCUAUUGAAAUGCCGUUGAAAUUCUCUAUUGGAAAUACCCCUGAAAACUCCUUUGAGUUAAGGGUAUUCCUGAAACCCCGCAUGAUACGACCCUAACCAGAAAAACGUCGAAACGCCCCUGAAGCUUCCGUAGUUUCAUUGAAACGCCAUUGAAAUCAUGCCAAUUGAAAAUGUCCCUGAAACCCCUUGGAAUGUCUAUAAAAUGCUCCGAAAUAUUUUCUGAACAUAACACAUUGAAAUGCCUCUAUUAUGCCCCUGAAAUGCCUUGAAACGCCUCUGAAACCCAUUUGUAACGCCCAUUUAAGGCUCCUGGUAUUCCCAGCCUUAAAGUUCCUUAAAAAGUCCCUGAGACCCUUAAUAUUAUGCAUUGAAACGCCUCUUCCAUCAAAACGCCAAGAGUAUGUGACGGAACGCCAUGAAACAACUCCCUGAAACGCCCCUAAAGCCCCCUGCAAUCCCCUUUUUUAGGGCUCGCUGGGAAGUUUCGAGAUACUCCCUUGUCUCCAUCUCAAUCUCAAACACCCAAGGCUAUUCUCGUGAACUAAGUUUCCUCACUACAACCUCAACUUAAGUUAUGCAUAGAAUUCCCUGUUUUUAUUCCUUUUUAUGCACAUUUUCAAUGUGUGCACUUUCUGUCAGGUGCAUAAAAAUCCGAGAUGAACUAUUUUCGAGUUAAAAAUUUCGUUAAUAAAAACAAAAAGGAUGCAUAAAAAAAAGUCUCAGUGUAUCUCCACACAAAAUUUAACACCGAAUUGUGCAUAAAAUAAUGUGAUUGCUUACACGGAACCGCCAAACUACCCAAAAUUGAGUUCUUUUGACGCAAUCCCAUAGUUCCGCCCAAUAAGCCAAAUUUGAGUAAAUCGAUUAAACUCACACUAGGUAAAUUGCCUUUACCUCCAGCAAAAAAAUAUACUUAAGAGUAGGUAAAUUCAACCCAAGACCCCCCCUCAUUCAACCCAAAUUUGAGUAUACCUACAUUUACUCAAAAUUGACUUAUUGGGCUCAAGGACCCCCAUUGGGUAGACGCAUCUCUGUUUGUUUUUGACAACAUCGGUGGGGGAAAGAGGGAAAACAACCUAAUUUUGGGUAACUAGUUUAUUCGAUAUACUCAGCUUUGAGUAAAAUCGACCCAAAAAUUAGGUAGUUUGAUUUCUCCGUGUACGGUUAUUUAAAUUGACAUUUGUAGAGUUCUAUGUUUAACUGCUUAGCUGGUAGUGCAGCUUUGGCACUGUUGUCGUUCUGACUUCAGCUAGGUCGGGGAGGUACGACCCGAGCAUCUGUUCACCAAGGAGAUGCGGCUCAAACAGCGUCUGUUCUGGCAUCCAGCGAGUGAGUAAAGAAAUGCUGCAUCACGCUCAGCUAGAUCUAAGGUGGUAGCUCCAGCUAGAUCUAAGCGUGAUCGUCCCAGUGUUGGUUGUGACGCUAAACAGAACUGGCACCAUGUUCCUCCGGUGAGACAGAAGUGUUGGCGUAGGCCCAAUAAUAGCCACCCGUAAAAUCCCCAUUUUACGAAUAAUGUAGGAGAGAAUACGACGCGAUACAAUCAGCAAAGAUCCACGUGAGUCACGUGACGAAGAAAAAACUACGAUUGGAAACUUGAAACAUUGAAUUGCAAGUCCAAGUGACUUUCGUAGGAUGUGACAGGAUUAUCUACGAUGAAUUACAUCCCCGCAACUUCAACAUCGUAGAGUUGCAAGAACUUUGUUGGACUGAACAGAAAGUGUGGAAAAGCGGGCAUCGACCAGCUAGCUUCUCACAAAGCUGUGGCACCACCAACGAACUGGGAGCAGGAUUCAUAGUGUUGGACAAGAUGCGACAACAUGUGAUCGGCUGGCAGCCGCACGCAUACCAGGAACCAGAAUAUUAUCGAACUUGAAUGAACCUAAAAUCUUCUUUCACAGGGUUUCAGUUUAUGAUUUACCCUUUCAGAAAAGCCUUGGUUCAAAAUAUUCUAUCGGUGAAAAAUGAAAUAAAUCAUAUUUGAAGAUUUUCUAUCGAAUUGCAGUACAUUAGAGUUUUUUUUUUAAUGAUUAAUAUAGUUUCGACCAAAUCUUUAGUGUCUGAUAGCCAAAAAAAUUUGAGAGAAAUAUUUUAGAAUAGUAUACUUAAUUACUUACUUGCUACUUCUGAACUCGAGUUCAUCCCGUUCAUCAAUGCCUUAUGGAGAAUUAAUAUCCACUGUGUAACCUGUCGGUUACAUCCUUAGAUUUUUGUGUUUGUAUGAGCCGAAUGUUGGCAGAAAUUUCAUGUUUUUUUAAUGUAAAUGUCAGAAGGUCCCACACGACUGAGAGGGUUACUCCGCUACCAAUAUUAAAACCUAGCAUUACUGAAGGGGUAGAACAUGGCCAUCGUUAUUUUCAUGUUUAUGGGUGUCAUGGCCGUGGAUUUUGUCCCAUGGGCGCUGCCAUCUUCCAAAUUGAAGAUUUUUUGGCAGAAGUAUUCAGGCGUCCGUGUGAGUCAUAUCGAUCUUCGUGAUUGUUGAAAAGUAGUGUCCGCGGUGGUUUUUCUACCACCCCCCCCCCCCUUUUAUGGAGGGAUACCGGGAUUGCGGCCUACUCCCGUUCAGGACCUCUUGCCGUAUUUUAAAAUACGGUCCUCACACGGGUCGGCUCGGAAGUCAAAAUGGCUUCCGAGUCUAAAUGCCAAGGACACCCCGUCGUCCGAUUCCGGACGAAUCCCUCGGGCCGCCGGCUCUAAUUAUCUAGGAGGGACCUCUCUCGGCACGGU